rnacentral:tRNA from 1 species
GCAUCGGUGGUUCAGUGGUACAAUGCUCGCCUGCCACCGGGUUCAAUUCCCGGCCGAUGAA